ACUCUAGGGCUGAAGUGAGGAGUAAAUGAAUUAGCACAUGAAAGGAGCUCAGAACAGCGUUUGGCACCUAGUCAGGCUCAUCAAAUCUGCAGAAGGAAGUGGGAAAGAUGGAUCCAACGCUGGCCCAGCUGCGUAGGAGGGCAGUAGCUCUACGUGUGAACUCCAGAUGCUUGUACUUUGGUGACAUCACUGGGAACCAUGUGAAAUAGGUAUUAACCUGCUUUUGCAAAUGAAGAAUCGGAGCCUGAAGGAAGAUUAGU